CACGUAGUUAGCCGUGGCUUCCUCCUCAGGUACCGUCAUUAUCGUCCCUGAAUACAGAGCUUUACAACCCGAAGGCCGUCAUCACUCACGCGGCGUUGCUGCAUCAGGGUUUCCCCCAUUGUGCAAUAUUCCCCACUGCUGCCUCCCGUAGGAGUCUGGGCCGUGUCUCAGUCCCAAUGUGGCCGAUCACCCUCUCAGGUCGGCUACGCAUCGUCGCCUUGGUGAGCCGUUACCUCACCAACUAGCUAAUGCGCCGCGGGCCCAUCUCAUAGCGGAUUGCUCCUUUAAUUGCUACUUCAUGCGAAGCUACAAUCUUAUGCGGUAUUAAUCUCCCUUUCGGAAGGCUAUUCCCCUCUAUGAGGCAGGUUGCCCACGUGUUACUCACCCGUCCGCCGCUAGCUUUGUUCCGAAGAACUCCACUCGCUCGACUUGCAUGUGUUAGGCACGCCGCCAGCGUUCGUCCUGAGCCAGGAUCAAACUCU
rnacentral:rRNA from 1 species